AUUGAACGCUGGCGGCAGGCCUAACACAUGCCAGUCGUGCGAGCGUCGGACGGGGGAGUAAUGUAUGGGGACUGCCCGAUAGAGGGGGCUAACUACUUGAAACGGUGGCUAAUACCGCAUACGGUCUCAUACUCCAUAGGUGAAUAGCUAGUAGGUAAGGUAAUGGCUGACCAAGGGGACGUUACCUAGCUGGUCUGAGAGGAUGAUAAACGACACUGGGACUGGGACACGGGCCAGACUCCUGCGGAGGCAGCAGGGGGGAAGAUUGCACAAUGGGCGCUAGCCUAAUGCAGCCAAGCGGCGUGUAUGAAGAAGGCCGUAGAGUUGUAAAGUACUUUCAGAGGGGAGGCGUAACCGACAGAAGAAGCACCGGCUAACUCCGUGCCAGCAGCCGCGGUAAUUC
rnacentral:rRNA from 1 species